AGAACGACGCUGGCGGCAUGCCUAACACAUGCAAGUCGAACGAGACCUUCGGGUCUAGUGGCGCACGGGUGCGUAACGCGUGGGAAUCUGCCCUUAGGUUCGGAAUAACUUCGGGAAACUGAAGCUAAUACCGGAUGAUGACGUAAGUCCAAAGAUUUAUCGCCUAAGGAUGAGCCCGCGUUGGAUUAGCUAGUUGGUGAGGUAAAGGCUCACCAAGGCGACGAUCCAUAGCUGGUCUGAGAGGAUGAUCAGCCACACUGGGACUGAGACACGGCCCAGACUCCUACGGGAGGCAGCAGUGGGGAAUAUUGGACAAUGGGCGAAAGCCUGAUCCAGCAAUGCCGCGUGAGUGAUGAAGGCCUUAGGGUUGUAAAGCUCUUUUACCCGGGAUGAUAAUGACAGUACCGGGAGAAUAAGCUCCGGCUAACUCCGUG
rnacentral:rRNA from 1 species